UGGGGGAUAUUGCACAAUGGGCGAAAGCCUGAUGCAGCGACGCCGCGUGGGGGAUGAAGGCUUUCGGGUUGUAAACCUCUUUCUCUAUCGAACAAGGCCCGCUUAGGGUGGGGUGAGGGUAGGUGGAGAAGAAGCGCCGGCUAACUACGUGACAGCAGCCGCGGUAAUACGUAGGGCGCGAGCGUUGUCCGGAAUUAUUGGGCGUAAAGGGCUUGUAGGCGGCUUGUUGCGCCUGCUGUGAAAACGCGGGGCUUAACUUCGCGCGUGCAGUGGGUACGGGCAGGCUUGAGUGUGGUAGGGGUGACUGGAAUUCCAGGUGUAGCGGUGGAAUGCGCAGAUAUCUGGAGGAACGCCGAUGGCGAAGGCAGGUCACUGGGCCAUUACUGACGCUGAGGAGCGAAAGCAUGGGUAGCGAACAGG
rnacentral:rRNA from 1 species